AUGGCGGUUGCGUCCGCCGUCUCCUCCUCUUCGAGGGCGCUGGGAUCUCACCGCGACGUCCCCGCCCAUAGCUUCUCGGCCGAGGCAUUCUCCUCGUCCUGGUCGCGCCCCGUCGAAGCGAGGCCGGUGUCGUGUGGCGGCGGCGGCGGCGGCGGCGAGGAUGACGUGCUCGACCUGGACUCCCCGUGGGUGGCGGAGGGCGAGGCGGAAUCGAGGUUGGAGGCGGCCGCGGCGGCGGGACUUCACCUCCGCGCCGAGGAGGAGGGGGACGAGGAUGAGAUACGAGACAACCGGCAGCGACAUGAGGACGAGUUGAUGGCAUUGGAAGCGAUAUAUGGGGAUGACCUGGUUGAAUUUGAGAGCAAAGAAGGGCUCCAUUAUUUCCAGAUUUACAUACAUUAUGAUCUGCAUGAUGGCGCUGAAGUGUGUGCUAAAUUGUCUUCAGCUAGUGGAAAUCGAAAAGAUGGAUGUCCUAAUGAUUGUACAGAGGAACAUGAUGAUGAACCAGAUGAAUUCUCUUACACGUGCAACUUUGAGCACCUGCCUCCUUUGAUACUGACAUGCUUGCUUCCGAAGUCCUACCCAAGCAAAGACCCCCCAUAUUUUAAUGUCACUGCUAAAUGGAUGGAUGGGCAUAAUGUUUCUCAACUCUGUGAGAUGCUUGACACCAUUUGGGCAGAGCUACCAGGGCAAGAAGUGGUAUACCAGUGGGUUGAGUGGAUACGUAACUCUUCUUUGUCAUAUCUCCUGUUUGAUGGUAAAAUCACAUUGGGUUCAGAUUGUCCAACCCACAAAGGAGAUAACCGUGCAAUCUCAAGAAAUCUCUCACUGGAGUCUGUGAUCCCUUCAAUGCUUAAUUACAGCAGUAAGAAGCAGUACGAAGCUUUUCUCGAGAAUCUCCAUACAUGCAGGAUAUGCCUUAACCAGAGCAAAGGUUCAAACUUCGUCAGGCUUCCAUGCCAGCACUUAUUUUGUGUGAAAUGCAUGGAGACCUUAUGCAGGAUGCAUGUGAAGGAAGGUACCGUGUUUCAUUUGGUGUGCCCUGAGACGAAAUGCAAUGCUUCUAUUCCACCAUAUCUGUUGAAGAGGCUUCUGAGGGAAGAAGAGUUCCAACGUUGGGAUAGGCUUGCUCUUGAGAAAGCAUUGGACUCGAUGUCAGAUGUGGUUUACUGUCCCAAGUGUGCGAUCGGUUGCUUGGAAGAUGAGGAUAACAAUGCACAAUGUCCAAAAUGUUCCUUUAUCUUCUGCUCGUUUUGCAAGGACCCACGCCAUCCAGGGAAACAGUGUCUAACUGCAGAACAAAAGCUCCAGCGCAAACAGGCGUCAGGCAGGAUGACUGAGUGGGAGAUGGUAAAAGAAAUGCUGAGUAUAAAAAAGCUGUACAGAGAUGCUAUAUUAUGUCCAAAAUGCAAGAUGCCCAUCAGCAGAACUGAAGGGUGCAACAAAAUAGAGUGCGGCAACUGUGGUCAGUUCUUGUGCUUCCGCUGUGGCAAGGCCAUAACUGGAUAUGAUCAUUUCAGGAGUAAAGGCUGUCAGCUCUUUGCGCCUGUUGACAAUGACACGACGGUGUGGCAGAGGCAAAUGGAAGUGCUGAAAAAUGAAAGAGGCAUGCGAGCUCAGAGGCGCCAGGUAGCUGGAAGCGAUACCGUGAAGUGUCCAAAAUGCCGUCAAGAAGUACUCAAGGAUGAUGAUAAAUACAUUUACUGCUGGACGUGCCGAGCUAGCUAUUCCACACAGUCCAAGCAGCACGGGCAGGGCAGCAGCAGGUCGAGGAUGCGAGGCAAAGGGGCCAUCAAGGAUGAUCAGGGGGAUGCAUGA
rnacentral:rRNA from 1 species